AUAACCUAUUAGCUUUUUUUUUUUUAUAUCAAUCACAACAUUAGCAUAAUUAUGUAUAUAUAUAUAACUAAGGCAUACCAUAUUUAUAUAAAAAAAAAACUACAGGGGGGAGGACAUACUGCUCCAGAGUACAAACCUGAAGAAUGCUUAGGCAUGUUGACUAGGUGGUUAUCUAAUAACCCACUCUAGGAAUUAAUACACCAUCAUUGCAUAGCAUUGAUCUUNNNNNNNNNNNNNNNCACCAACUUUACUUUUACCAUUUCCUUCAGGGCAGGGGCAGUCUUAACCUUUGGGCAAGUAAAGUAAGGGCUUUAGACCCAUCGAUUGUAAAAAAUGACAAAUAUUGCUCUUUAAGCCCCUCAAGUUGUUCUCAAACCCCCC
rnacentral:lncRNA from 1 species